rnacentral:rRNA from 1 species
GUGAGGAAUAUUGGUCAAUGGACGGAAGUCUGAACCAGCCAAGUAGCGUGCAGGAUGACGGCCCUAUGGGUUGUAAACUGCUUUUAUGCGGGGGUAAAGUGAGUGACGUGUCAUUCAUUGCAAGUACCGCAAGAAUAAGGACCGGCUAAUUCCGUGCCAGCAGCCGCGGUAAUACGGAAGGUCCUGGUGUUAUCCGGAGUUAUUGGGUUUAAAGGGAGCGUAGGCCGUCAGGCAAGCGUGUUGUGAAAUGUCGUGGCUCAACCAUGGACUUGCAGCGCGAACUGCCCGACUUGAGUGCGCAGAAAGCAGGCGGAAUUUGUGGUGUAGCGGUGAAAUGCUUAGAUAUCACGAAGAACCCCGAUUGCGAAGGCAGCCUGCUGUAGCGCUACUGACGCUGAAGCUCGAAAGUGCGGGUAUCGAACAGGAUUAGAUACCCGUGUAGUCC